GAGUUUUGAUCCUGGCUCAGGAUGAACGCUAGCUACAGGCUUAACACAUGCAAGUCGAGGGGAAACGACAUCGAAAGCUUGCUUUUUGAUGGGCGUCGACCGGCGCACGGGUGAGUAACGCGUAUCCAACCUGCCCACCACUUGGGGGAUAACCUUGCGAAAGUAAGACUAAUACCCAAUGAUAUCUCUAGAAGACAUCUGAAAGAGAUUAAAGAUUUAUCGGUGAUGGAUGGGGAUGCGUCUGAUUAGCUUGUUGGCGGGGUAACGGCCCACCAAGGCGACGAUCAGUAGGGGUUCUGAGAGGAAGGUCCCCCACAUUGGAACUGAGACACGGUACCAAACUCCUACGGGAGGCAGCA
rnacentral:rRNA from 1 species